CAACGAUUUCUCAAACAUCCAUGAAAGAUUCAAAGCAACUCACCAGAUCUCCUCAGAGGAGCCAUCAGAGAACAACUGCCUCUGGUGACAAACAGCAAAAAGGAAGGUUGGAGGAAUAAAAAGCCUUUUUUGCCUUUGUACUCUUUGUGUGGGAUGAAAAAUAUCCUCUGUACAUGCAGAUAAAUAACGUUGAGAGGACAAGUGUUUAAAUGGGAAAACAAAAGAUUCAAAAAAAGAACAAGCAGAAACCGAGAAAGAACAGCCUCCACAUUCACCCAGGCUGAAUGAGAUGAAAGAACAAGACAAAGACAAGCUGCCAAGCUCUUAAGAAAUAAUGUUUGGCAGAGGGCCAGCACAUAUCUGGACCUCUGCAUCCACUGAGGUUUUUGCAGAAGGGCAGCUGUACUAAACAAAGAUUUCACAGAAUUUAAGAUGAUUCUUAAGUUUUGAGAUAUCAUGAAGAGACGUUCAGUGACACUUAGUAGCACCUGUGUUGGUUCUCAGUUCAAGAGUGAUAGAAAUCAGAAGAGCAAAAACAGCAUCAACUGCACCUGCAACAAACAGUUAUAUCUACAGCAAACUGCAAAUGGAGACACCUAACUUGGCUCAAAACAAACCAGACAUUACCAUUCUGGAAUGAGACUGGACAAUAGAGAAGGAGCUUGUAAGGAUUUGUUGUUUUUCUGUGUGUAAGUUCCUAGUUCCUAAUUAAGUUUCUGUGUUGAGGCGUUUUUUUUGCCCUUAAUUGUCUCUUGCUGUCCUGAUUACUCCUCUGUGUAUUUAAUCCCACCUGUGUCUGUGUUUCCCCAUCGGAUCCUUGUCUUGUGUCAUUUGUCGUCGCAGUCUUAUGUUGUGUCAUUGCUGUUCAGUUGUAUGAGUUUCCCAGUUUCUAUCAGUGUCAGCGCUACUUCUACUUCACCUGUACUGUCUGGACUUCUGUUCUCUUCGUUACCAUUAUUA